GACGAACGCUGGCGGCGUGCUUAACACAUGCAAGUCGGAGCGGGUAAGGCCCCUUCGGGGGUACACGAGCGGCGAACGGGUGAGUAACACGUGGGUGACCUGCCCGUCAGCUCUGGGAUAAGCCUGGGAAACUGGGUCUAAUACCGGAUAUGACUCCAUGACGCAUGUCGUGGGGUGGAAAGCCUUGUGCGGCUGGGGAUGGGGCCCGCGGCCUAUCCAGCUUGUUGGUGGGGUGAUGGCCUACCAAGGCGACGACGGGUAGCCGGCCUGAGAGGGCGACCGGCCACACUGGGACUGAGACACGGGCCCAGACUCCUACGGGAGGCAGCAGGUGGGGAAUCUUGCGCAAUGGGCGAAGGCCUGACGCAGCGACGCCGCGUGAGGGAUGACGG
rnacentral:rRNA from 1 species